CGACCAUUAGUCAAACUCUCUGGAAAGCUCUCUAAUUAAUAACAACUGUACAUAAAAUCAACAAACUGAAAACACUCAAGUGAAAAUGUUCUGGACAGAGUUUGAAUCAGACAAACAAGAUUUUACCAAUUAAUUUGCUAUGGAGCAUGAACAACGCGAUUAAGUAAAGAUUACAGAAAUCAUUAUCGUGUUAAAUGAUGACUGAAAAAGAAAUAAAGAACAUUCUCGUU